CAACCCUCAGGCCCCUAGUUUGGCCUGGUGUUGGGGCACUGCCGUCCCGCCCGUACGGGGCGCGCAGGCUCUGAAAAUCAGUGGCGGGCUCGCUAGCACUCCGGGCGUAGUAGAAUUUUAUCUCGUCUAGGUGGUCUGGCGCGGUCUUGCCGUCAAAACCCCCCAAUUUUAUACAA
rnacentral:misc_RNA from 1 species